rnacentral:rRNA from 1 species
AGAGCGAACGCUGGCGGCAGGCUUAACACAUGCAAGUCGAGCGGGCGUAGCAAUACGUCAGCGGCAGACGGGUGAGUAACGCGUGGGAACAUACCUUUUGGCUCGGAACAACACAGGGAAACUUGUGCUAAUACCGGAUAAGCCCUUACGGGGAAAGAUUUAUCGCCGAAAGAUUGGCCCGCGUCUGAUUAGCUAGUUGGUGAGGUAACGGCUCACCAAGGCGACGAUCAGUAGCUGGUCUGAGAGGAUGAUCAGCCACAUUGGGACUGAGACACGGCCCAAACUCCUACGGGAGGCAGCAGUGGGGAAUAUUGGACAAUGGGCGCAAGCCUGAUCCAGCCAUGCCGCGUGAGUGAUGAAGGCCCUAGGGUUGUAAAGCUCUUUUGUGCGGGAAGAUAAUGACGGUACCGCAAGAAUAAGCCCGGCUAACUUCGUGCCAGCAGCCGC